GACGAACGCUGGCGGCGCGCCUAACACAUGCAAGUCGAACGAGAGAUGAGGAGCUUGCUCUUCAAAUCGAGUGGCGAACGGGUGAGUAACGCGUGAGGAACCUGCCUCAAAGAGGGGGACAACAGUUGGAAACGACUGCUAAUACCGCAUAAGCCCACGGGUCGGCAUCGACCAGAGGGAAAAGGAGCAAUCCGCUUUGAGAUGGCCUCGCGUCCGAUUAGCUAGUUGGUGAGGUAAUGGCCCACCAAGGCGACGAUCGGUAGCCGGACUGAGAGGUUGAACGGCCACAUUGGGACUGAGACACGGCCCAGACUCCUACGGGAGGCAGCAGUGGGGAAUAUUGGGCAAUGGGCGCAAGCCUGACCCAGCAACGCCGCGUGAAGGAAGAAGGCUUUCGGGUUGUAAACUUCUUUGUCAGGGACGAGUAGAAGACGGUACCUGACGAAUAAGCCACGGCUAACUACGUG
rnacentral:rRNA from 1 species